rnacentral:rRNA from 1 species
AGAGUUUGAUCAUGGCUCAGAAUCAACGCUGGCGGCGUGCCUAACACAUGCAAGUCGAACGCGAAAGUCCCGCAAGGGAUAAGUAGAGUGGCAAACGGGUGAGUAACACGUGGGUGACCUGCCUUCGAGCGGGGGAUAACGUCCCGAAAGGGACGCUAAUACCGCAUGACAUCCUGCCUUUGAAGAGGUGGAGAUCAAAGCCGGGGAUCGCAAGACCUGGCACUCGAAGAGGGGCCCGCGCCUGAUUAGCUAGUUGGUGGGGUAACGGCUCACCAAGGCAACGAUCAGUAGCCGGCCUGAGAGGGCGGACGGCCACACUGGGACUGAGACACGGCCCAGACUCCUACGGGAGGCAGCAGUGGGGAAUUGUUCGCAAUGGGCGCAAGCCUGACGACGCAACGCCGCGUGGAGGACGAAGACCUUCGGGUCGUAAACUCCUUUCGAUCGAGACGAAUGGUUUCCGGGUGAACAAUCCGGAAAAGUGACGGUACCGAGAGAAGAAGCCCCGGCUAACUCCGUGCCAGCAGCCGCGGUAAUACGGGGGGGGCAAGCGUUGUUCGGAAUUACUGGGCGUAAAGGGCUCGUAGGCGGCCAACUAAGUCAGACGUGAAAUCCCUCGGCUUAACCGGGGAACUGCGUCUGAUACUGGAUGGCUUGAGAUUGGGAGAGGGAUGCGGAAUUCCAGGUGUAGCGGUGAAAUGCGUAGAUAUCUGGAGGAACACCGGUGGCGAAGGCGGCAUCCUGGACCAACACUGACGCUGAGGAGCGAAAGCCAGGGGAGCAAACGGGAUUAGAUACCCCCGUAGUCC